UACAGAGGGGGCAAGCGUUAUUCGGAAUUAUUGGGCGUAAAGGGCGCGUAGGCGGCUUGGCAAGUGGAUGGUGAAAUCCCUCGGCUUAACCGAGGAACUGCCGUCCAAACUGCUUUGCUUGAGACCGGGAGAGGUGAGUGGAAUUCCCAGUGUAGCGGUGAAAUGCGUAGAUAUUGGGAGGAACACCAGUGGCGAAGGCGGCUCACUGGACCGGUACUGACGCUGAUGUGCGAAAGCGUGGGGAGCAAACAGG
rnacentral:rRNA from 1 species